UAAAUGAAUUGAAGACUUCUCCUUCUCGUUCUUAUCAACUGAAAAAAAACUUUCCCCAAACACCAUUUCUUCUAAUGUAUUAAGGUAUUAUUCUACUUAAACCAGUUCUUGCUGUAUUCAACACUUUCAUAGUUCAUACUCUUUCACUUAGCCAAGCUUAGAUAUGCGAUUGCUUUGAAUGCAACUUGUAAAUCUGAAAUCAAUUAUAGAUUGUGAUUAACUUCAAUGCAAAGUUCUAGCUUGUACAGAUCUAAUCCUGUUCGGUCAAAUUUUAGCUCAAUUCUAAAGAUCUUCUGCUACUUCCGUUUAUCCAUGGAUUUAAGGUAUGGUAGCAAAAUGGAUCAAAUGCAAAAGUCGCAAUGUCAGUGGGCACAAAUUUGUAUUUGUUAACAAGAAGACAUAAAUUUUAUAUUGAUAAGAAGAGUAUUUUGAGCACAAUUUGUAUUUUGCACUGAUAUUGACAAGAAGAGUAUUUUGUGAGCACAAUUAUGUAUUUCAUAUUGAUAUCGAUGAAUAACUUCUAAAGGUUCAGUUUUUAA